UACAGAGGCCUCGAGCGUUAGGCGGAAUCACUGGGCUUAAAGCGUGUGUAGGCGGAUUGGUAAGUACCUUGUGAAAUCCCACAGCUUAACUGUGGAACUGCUCGGUAUACUGCUGAUCUUGAGCCACUCAGGGCUACCGGAACAAUGGUGGAGCGGUGAAAUGCGUAGAUAUCAUUUGGAACGCCAAUGGUGAAAACAGGUAGCUGGGGGUGUGCUGACGCUGAGACACGAAGCCAGGGGAGCAAACGGG
rnacentral:rRNA from 1 species